UUUUUAAUUUACCGGGUGAGAGUUAAAUAGCCCAGUCCCACGUACUGCCAUAAACAGGGUCAACAGAUUGCUACUCCAGUAAAUGCCACUAUAAGCAAAACAUACAUUUAUAGGGAGAUAUGAUAGAAAUUUAGGAAGGUAUUAUAUAGAGGGACCUUAGGAGAACAAUCCAUGCAAGCCUAUAAAACAAUUACACUUCUUUGUAUCAAAAGUCAGGUAUUUGCAUUUGAAGGUACAGAAAAACAUUGUGCACUUCUCCCCCUUGCACCAAAAAUAAUUUCUGUAGAGCAGGAAACCGAAAAGCUUCUGUAUUGAACUGGAAUAAUGAAACACACAGAAAAUGAAUGAAUGAAUGAGUGAAUGAGGAGUGCAUGCUUUACUGAGAUGAUGAGGAACCCUUUUAGUAACACGCCUUAGAAAUAGCUGAUUUUCACUGCACUAUGAAGGAAUUAUUUUAUCAGCAUGCUGUAUAUAUACCUUUCAGCUUCCUGAAAUACAGUCAUAAUGAAUGACUAUGUAUACGUUUAGAAGUCACAGACAGCUUAUUCCUUCGGUAUUCCCCUUGUUCUCAAUCACAAAACAUUAGCUGGACCCAGUUUGCUGAACAAUCCACUGUAUCAGAUUCAUCACAUUUCCCUCAAUUUCUUUUUCCCCCACAAAAUCUUGUCGUUUCAGAAAUUGAGUUCUAUGAAGAGCUGAAAGGAAGAUGACUUCUUCCCGUGAUAGCUUUGAUAGCUUCCUGCAUGAAAUCCGAGUGAGAAGCCAUCAGAGGGCAGAAUGUGAGGGUGGGAGUGACUUCAGGCACCGCUGGUGUGACGCUGGCAGCAGUUCUCUGUCAGAGUCCUUGGGGCUGAGAAAUGAUAAGAGGCUGCACGGUCCUGUGGGGUUAAGCAGCUUGACAAGACCUUCACAUAACUCAGCCCUCUGAAAAUCUGCAAAAUGAAAUACUUGGAGUUUCUUCUAUCCUACAGAAGAUACCUACUUUGGUCUCUGACAGGACAGAUGCAAAAUUAACUCCAAAGAACAGGAAAGCUCUCUUCUGCUAGAGCUGGUACUGUAAUUAUAAAGAGUUCCUUGCUCACAGUUUUUUAUCAUAAAUGAAUGCAAGUUAUACCAUCUUAUUUUUCAUUGAAGUUAGCAAGCUAGGUAUUGACAGCUGUUGGUGGGCCUCUUUUGUUUGUUUUUGAACAGUUUUAAUUGUGAACAACUGUUUUCAACUGAGCAGCAAAUUUAUGCAAAGAUAAUAUUUUUUGGAAAUUCAGAUGUUCAAGUAGCAGGAAACUUGACAUGAUUAGCCCAGAACUGUUGUUACAACUCAAUGCUUUUGCAUCUUAUUCUCUCCUGAGUUAGUUAAGUACAUAGCAUCAUCUCAUGAUGCCAUAUUCCAUAACACGUAUGCUUUCAUGUACUGUAAAAAUGCAAUAAAGCACAAAACUACGGGGCAGAAUGGGAGCAAGAAUCACACUGGUAGGACUGCUGAAUUAAGGGGAAAAAAAAGCAUAUUGAGAUUUUUAUUUUCUCUUAGAAAAGAAGAAUAACUCCAUUUUCUAACUCACUCUUUGCAUGAGUUUUAUGAUUUCCCAAUCAACAUCACCACGUGAAUUUUUAGUCAAGGACUGAAAAUACUGUUCUUGAAGACCAUUAACUGCAUCUACUCUGGAGCAAUGACUUCUAAAUUAAAGGUCGUGACAGUUAUGAAUGAGGUUAUGAGCUUUUUUACCCUACUACUUGGACUUAUGUCUUCAACAGAAGUGGAAAUUUAAACCAGAAAUAGGAUUGCAACAUGACAAAUGAAUCAAACUCUAAACUACAGAAAGCAGGGCUAAGAGGAGGUCAUCCGUAAGGCAAUGCAAUGAAUCUGUGAUGUUGAUGUUUUGACAAGCGAAUAGAUCACUCAGGUCCAAUGCCUGAUGCAAGCAAUGCAGCAUUUUCUGCAAAGCUUUAUCUUAAGAAAACAACAACAAGCCUUCCUUCACAGAAUUUAGAUUGGAUGAUUGAACAAGUAUUUUUAACCAAUAAAAUUGACCUUGCUUUUCCCCUACAAGUUGAAUUAUUCUCUCCUUUUUCUGAUCUUUCUUGAUUCUUUCCUUGCCUUUCUUCUCCACAAACUGGGCAUCAGUGUUUCUUUCCCUACCCUUCAUUAUGUAUAAAGGUUGGCUGUGAGUUUUAUUGGCUUCCAAGUAAUGCAGAAUGAAGUAGGACUUCGUCAUCGUAUCAAGAAAUCAAUGAUACACUGAAGAACUUUUUAAUUAGACCACUGCAGUCCUGAACUAAACCUGAGACACAAAGAUUAAAUAAUUGCUUACAGCAUUUUCAAUGUGUGGUUCACCAUAGUGAAAAGAAGAUUAUUGAAUCAACUGCUGAGUUAUGAAAACCGAUGAAGUCUUGCUGAGUGCAGAAAUUUACUUUAGCACAACAAAACAAUGAAGUUUUAUGACCCAGUUCCUCUGAACUACUUUAAUUAAGGACUACUAUGAUAAGAAAGAACUUGAAAAGCUAUCUGGUAGGAAGACAGACUUGCAUUUAGAUGUUGACAUAUGAAGUCAGCACAUUCAAGGAUAUCACUGUACUUCAGUGUUAUAUUGUCAAAGCCAUUAACUCCUCCUAACACAUUUAUAUCUAGAGAUCUACACGCACAAUCCUCAUCAGUCUUCAUGACUUAAGAGCAUGUGAAAGCCAAUAUUGCUUAGACAUCUGUUUUGUCUGAGUGACUUCUUGAUAUUUUCCACCUCUGCUGAAAUUUAGACAUAAAAAUUAACAUAAACAAUUGUUUUAAGUUUAAUAUCCACAUUUUGUGUAGCUGGUACAAGUCCCUUGAUUUCAGUGAAGACACUACUAUACAACUAGAAAAUCUGGCCUUCAGAGCUCAUUAGGUUUAAAAGCGUAAC